GUGGGGAAUCUUGCGCAAUGGGCGAAAGCCUGACGCAGCCAUGCCGCGUGAAUGAUGAAGGUCUUAGGAUUGUAAAAUUCUUUCACCGGGGACGAUAAUGACGGUACCCGGAGAAGAAGCCCCGGCUAACUUCGUGCCAGCAGCCGCGGUAAUACGAAGGGGGCUAGCGUUGCUCGGAAUUACUGGGCGUAAAGGGCGCGUAGGCGGACAGUUUAGUCAGAGGUGAAAGCCCAGGGCUCAACCUUGGAAUUGCCUUUGAUACUGGCUGGCUUGAGUACGGGAGAGGUGAGUGGAACGCCGAGUGUAGAGGUGAAAUUCGUAGAUAUUCGGAAGAACACCAGUGGCGAAGGCGACUCACUGGCCCGUUACUGACGCUGAGGCGCGAAAGCGUGGGGAGCAAACAGGAUUAGAUACCCGUGUAGUCC
rnacentral:rRNA from 1 species